UGAAUACGAAACGCUAAGGCGUCGAAGUAGUGUAUGUCAUACUUCCAAGAAAAGCUUGCACUGUCAUAGAUAAAAAACGCCUGUACCAUAACCGACACAGGUGGGUAGGUAGAGUAUACUAAGGGGCGCGAGAUAACUCUCUCUAAGGAACUCGGCAAAAUAACUCCGUAACUUCGGGAGAAGGAGUGCCUUAUUCGUAAGGUUGCAAUAACAAGAUCCAAGCAACUGUUUAUCAAAAACACAGGUCUCCGCUAAGUCGUAAGACGAUGUAUGGGGGCUGACGCCUGCCCAGUGCCAGAAGGUUAAAGAAGUUGGUUAGCAAUUGCGAAGCUGAUAACUGAAGCCCUGGUGAACGGCGGCCGUAACGAUAACGGUCCUAAGGUAGCGAAAUUCCUUGUCGGGUAAGUUCCGACCCGCACGAAAGGCGUAAUGAUUUGGAUACUGUCUCGGAGAGGGGCUCGGUGAAAUAGACUUGUCUGUGAAGAUGCGGACUACCUGCACCAGGACAGAAAGACCCUAUGAAGCUUUACUGUAACUUGAAAUUGAAAUUGGACUUUAUUCGCGCAGUAUAGGUGGGAGGCGUUGAUUAUAAUCUUGUGGGAUUAUUGGAGCCAUCAGUGAGAUACCACUCUUGUAAUGUUAGAUUUCUAACUUUGAAUCAUUAUCUGGUCAAAGAACAGUUUCAGGCGGGCAGUUUGACUGGGGCGGUCGCCUCCUAAACGGUAACGGAGGCGUACAAAGGUUUCCUCUGAACGGUUAGAAAUCGUAUCUAGAGUGUAAAGGCAUAAGGAAGCUUGACUGUGAGACCUACAAGUCGAGCAGGGACGAAAGUCGGUCUUAGUGAUCUGACGGUACUGAGUGGAAAGGCCGUCACUCAACGGAUAAAAGUUACUCUAGGAUAACAGGCUGAUCUCCCCCAAGAGUUCACAUCGACGGGGAGGUUUGGCACCUCGAUGUCGGCUCAUCGCAUCCUGGGGCGGUAGUACGUCCCAAGGGUUGGGCUGUUCGCCCAUGAAAGCGGUACGCGAGCUGGGUUCAGAACGUCGUGAGACAGUUCGGUCCAUAUCCGGUGUAGGCGUUAGAAUAUUGAGAGGAGCCUUCUUUAGUACGAGAGGACCGAGAAGGACAUACCUCUGGUGUACCAGUUAUCGUGCCAACGGAAAACGCUGGGUAGCUAUGUAUGGAGUGGAUAACCGCUGAAAGCAUCUAAGUGGGAAGCCCACCUCAAGAUAAGUAUUCU
rnacentral:rRNA from 1 species